rnacentral:lncRNA from 1 species
AUAUUGACUGGAACAUGUGCUCAAUACCUAAAGACUUCUGAACAUCUGCUCCGAAGUAGUGGAGCACAACGACCAAUCAGCUAGAACAACACGUUACAAGGAAGGGGGCUAUUGGGUCUAUGUGUACCUGUGGGCAUAAGAACAACAUCCAAAAGAAAAGAGCAUCGGUACGAAUAAUGUAAUGAGUAUGAAGGACUAAGAAAGCAUAUGUAAAUUAAGGACAAAGCAUAUCAUAGGAGAUAUGGG